GAUGAACGCUGGCGGCGUGCCUAAUACAUGCAAGUAGAACGCUGAAGGAGGAGCUUGCUCUUCUGGAUGAGUUGCGAACGGGUGAGUAACGCGUAGGUAACCUGCCUGGUAGCGGGGGAUAACUAUUGGAAACGAUAGCUAAUACCGCAUGACAACAGUUAUUGCAUGAUAACUGUUUAAAAGGGGCAACUGCUCCACUACCAGAUGGACCUGCGUUGUAUUAGCUAGUUGGUGAGGUAACGGCUCACCAAGGCGACGAUACAUAGCCGACCUGAGAGGGUGAUCGGCCACACUGGGACUGAGACACGGCCCAGACUCCUACGGGAGGCAGCAGUAGGGAAUCUUCGGCAAUGGACGGAAGUCUGACCGAGCAACGCCGCGUGAGUGAAGAAGGUUUUCGGAUCGGAAAGCUCUGUUGUAAGAGAAGAACGAGUGUGAGAGUGGAAAGUUCACACUGUGACGGUAUCUUACCAGAAAGGGACGGCUAACUACGUG
rnacentral:rRNA from 1 species